GACGAACGCUGGCGGCGUGCCUAACACAUGCAAGUCGAGCGAAUGAAGUUCCUUCGGGAAUGGAUUUAGCGGCGGACGGGUGAGUAACACGUGGGCAACCUGCCUCAUAGAGGGGAAUAGCCUUCCGAAAGGGAGAUUAAUACCGCAUAAGAUUGUAGUACCGCAUGAUACAGCAAUUAAAGGAGCAAUCCGCUAUGAGAUGGGCCCGCGGCGCAUUAGCUAGUUGGUGAGGUAACGGCUCACCAAGGCGACGAUGCGUAGCCGACCUGAGAGGGUGAUCGGCCACAUUGGGACUGAGACACGGCCCAGACUCCUACGGGAGGCAGCAGUGGGGAAUAUUGCACAAUGGGGGAAACCCUGAUGCAGCGACGCCGCGUGAGCGAAGAAGUAUUUCGGUAUGUAAAGCUCUAUCAGCAGGGAAGAAAAUGACGGUACCUGACUAAGAAGCCCCGGCUAACUACGUGCCAGCCGCCGCAGUAAUAC
rnacentral:rRNA from 1 species